UUGAGGUUCUAAUCACUGUGAUUGGAUUGUGAAACUGGUGAUCUUGAUAUUCCAGUGCUGCCCCCGCAACGGUGAUCGAGUGUAAUCCAAUAUCCGAAUAGUUUGUCUAUUCAAUCCACUGUUUAACUACGGGAAGGUAUAUUGGACUGGGAAACCCACUCAUCAGCCCGGAGACCGACUCAAU
rnacentral:ncRNA from 1 species